rnacentral:rRNA from 1 species
CAGGGCGGGGUCCUAUCUGCAGUUGAGCGCUGAAGGUUGGUACUUGUACCGACUGGAUGAGCAGCGAACGGGUGAGUAACGCGUGGGGAAUCUGCCUUUGAGCGGGGGACAACAUUUGGAAACGAAUGCUAAUACCGCAUAAAAACUUUAAACACAAGUUUUAAGUUUGAAAGAUGCAAUUGCAUCACUCAAAGAUGAUCCCGCGUUGUAUUAGCUAGUUGGUGAGGUAAAGGCUCACCAAGGCGAUGAUACAUAGCCGACCUGAGAGGGUGAUCGGCCACAUUGGGACUGAGACACGGCCCAAACUCCUACGGGAGGCAGCAGUAGGGAAUCUUCGGCAAUGGACGAAAGUCUGACCGAGCAACGCCGCGUGAGUGAAGAAGGUUUUCGGAUCGUAAAACUCUGUUGGUAGAGAAGAACGUUGGUGAGAGUGGAAAGCUCAUCAAGUGACGGUAACUACCCAGAAAGGGACGGCUAACUACGUGCCAGCAGCCGCGGUAAUACGUAGGUCCCGAGCGUUGUCCGGAUUUAUUGGGCGUAAAGCGAGCGCAGGUGGUUUAUUAAGUCUGGUGUAAAAGGCAGUGGCUCAACCAUUGUAUGCAUUGGAAACUGGUAGACUUGAGUGCAGGAGAGGAGAGUGGAAUUCCAUGUGUAGCGGUGAAAUGCGUAGAUAUAUGGAGGAACACCGGUGGCGAAAGCGGCUCUCUGGCCUGUAACUGACACUGAGGCUCGAAAGCGUGGGGAGCAAACAGGAUUAGAUACCCUGGUAGUCCACGCCGUAAACGAUGAGUGCUAGAUGUAGGGAGCUAUAAGUUCUCUGUAUCGCAGCUAACGCAAUAAGCACUCCGCCUGGGGAGUACGACCGCAAGGUUGAAACUCAAAGGAAUUGACGGGGGCCCGCACAAGCGGUGGAGCAUGUGGUUUAAUUCGAAGCAACGCGAAGAACCUUACCAGGUCUUGACAUACUCGUGCUAUUCCUAGAGAUAGGAAGUUCCUUCGGG